rnacentral:rRNA from 1 species
AUUGAGCGCUGGCGGCAUGCUUUACACAUGCAAGUCGAACGGCAGCGCGGGCUUCGGCCUGGCGGCGAGUGGCGAACGGGUGAGUAAUGCAUCGGAACGUGCCCAGUAGUGGGGGAUAGCCCGGCGAAAGCCGGAUUAAUACCGCAUACGACCUGAGGGUGAAAGCGGGGGACCGAAAGGCCUCGCGCUAUUGGAGCGGCCGAUGUCGGAUUAGCUAGUUGGUGGGGUAAAGGCUUACCAAGGCGACGAUCCGUAGCUGGUCAGAGAGGACGACCAGCCACACUGGGACUGAGACACGGCCCAGACUCCUACGGGAGGCAGCAGUGGGGAAUUUUGGACAAUGGGGGCAACCCUGAUCCAGCCAUGCCGCGUGCGGGAAGAAGGCCUUCGGGUUGUAAACCGCUUUUGUUCGGGAAGAAAUCCUCUGGGCUAAUACCCCGGGGGGAUGACGGUACCGGAAGAAUAAGCACCGGCUAACUACGUG